rnacentral:rRNA from 1 species
UACGGGGGGGCAAGCGUUGUUCGGAAUUACUGGGCGUAAAGGGCUCGUAGGCGGCCAACUAAGUCAGACGUGAAAUCCCUCGGCUUAACCGGGGAACUGCGUCUGAUACUGGAUGGCUUGAGUUUGGAGAGGGAUGCGGAAUUCCAGGUGUAGCGGUGAAAUGCGUAGAUAUCUGGAGGAACACCGGUGGCGAAGGCGGCAUCCUGGACCAACACUGACGCUGAGUGAGCGAAAGCCAGGGAGCAAACGGG